rnacentral:tRNA from 1 species
ACCUCCGUGGCCGAGUGGCUAUGACACUAGACUUGCAAGCCGGAGGUCCCGGGUUCGAUUCCCGGUGGGGUCG